rfam:Gossypium arboreum cultivar AKA8401 contig_125829_1, whole genome shotgun sequence.
AACCUAUGGUGAGAGUAUCUUCUCAAGAGGUCCUUGUAUCUCUCCCAUGCAUUGUAGAGUGUUUCUAAAUCCACCUGCAGAAAAGAAGAGAUAUCAUUGCUUAAUUU